rnacentral:lncRNA from 1 species
GUCUGCUUUACGGGAACCUUUAUCACCGUCGUUCCCCAGCUGAUGAGUUCUGAAUUCGGCAGUUGAAUCCUUCUCAACAGUCUGCUUUACGGGAACCUUUAUCACCGUCGUUCCCCAGCUGAUGAGUUCUGAAUUCGGCAGUUGAAUCCUUCUCAACAGUCUGCUUUACGGGAACCUUUAUCACCGUCGUUCCCCAGCUGAUGAGUUCUGAAUUCGGCAGUUGAAUCCUUCUCAACAGUCUGUGUUACGGGAACCUUUAUAAACGUGAUCCGCAGUUCUGGUUCCGGAAUGAGGGAUCCUCCUUGCGCCAGUCCCGAGUUUUUUUCUCGUCCCGGAAUUCGGCACCAAUUGUUAUUAGACGCGUUCUCACGACCGGCCAGGAAGAACACCACAGACCAGAAUCUUCUGCGGCAAAGCUUUAUUCUUACAUCUUCAGGAGCCAGAGUGUAAGCAGCAAGAGAGCAAGAAGCAAGAGAGAGCGAAGCAAGAGAGAGAAGCAAGAGAGAGAAGCAAGAGAGCGAAG